rnacentral:rRNA from 1 species
UGGGGAAUAUUGCACAAUGGGCGCAAGCCUGAUGCAGCCAUGCCGCGUGUUUGAAGAAGGCCUUCGGGUUGUAAAGCACUUUCAUCGGGGAGGAAGGCGAUAAGGUUAAUAACCUUGUCGAUUGACGUUACCCGCAGAAGAAGCACCGGCUAACUCCGUGCCAGCAGCCGCGGUAAUACGGAGGGUGCCAGCGUUAAUCGGAAUUACUGGGCGUAAAGCGCACGCAGGCGGUCUGUCAAGUCGGAUGUGAAAUCCCCGGGCUCAACCUGGGAACUGCAUUAGAAACUGGCAGGCUAGAGUCUUGUAGAGAGGGGUAGAAUUCCAGGUGUAGCGGUGAAAUGCGUAGAGAUCUGGAGGAAUAACGGUGGCGAAGGCGGCCCCCUGGACAAAGACUGACGCUCAGGUGCGAAAGCGUGGGGAGCAAACAGG